GUCUGGGUGGCUUGGUCAGUUAAGCAUCUGACUUCAGCUCAGGUCAUGAUCUCGUAGUCUGUGGGUUCGAGACCCACAUCAGGUU
rnacentral:tRNA from 1 species